GAUGAACGCUGGCGGCGUGCUUAACACAUGCAAGUCGAACGAACCUUCGGGUUAGUGGCGGACGGGUGAGUAACGCGUGAGAAUCUGCCCUCAGGAGGGGGAUAACGGUUGGAAACGACCGCUAAUACCCCAUAUGCCGAUAGGUGAAAUGAAUUUCGCCUGAGGAUGAGCUCGCGUCUGAUUAGCUUGUUGGUGAGGUAAUGGCUCACCAAGGCUUCGAUCAGUAGCUGGUCUGAGAGGAUGAUCAGCCACACUAGGACUGAGACACGGCCCAAACUCCUACGGGAGGCAGCAGUGGGGAAUUUUCCGCAAUGGGCGAAAGCCUGACGGAGCAACGCCGCGUGAGGGACGAAGGCCUCUGGGCUGUAAACCUCUUUUCUCAAGGAAGAAGAUAUGACGGUACUUGAGGAAUAAGCCACGGCUAAUUCCGUGCCAGCAGCCGCGGUAAUACGGGAGUGGCAAGCGUUAUCCGGAAUUAUUGGGCGUAAAGCGUCCGCAGGCGGCCUUUCAAGUCUGCUGUUAAAGCGUGGAGCUUAACCCCAUUAUGGCAGGGGAAACUGAUCGGCUUGAGUAUGGUAGGGGCAGAGGGAAUUCCCGGUGUAGCGGUGAAAUGCGGAGAUAUCGGGAAGAACACCAGUGGCGAAGGCGCUCUGCUGGGCCAUUACUGACGCUCAUGGACGAAAGCCAGGGGAGCGAAAGGGAUUAGAUACCCCUGUAGUCCUGGCCGUAAACGAUGAACACUAGGUGUCGGGGGAAUCGACCCCUUCGGUGUCGUAGCUAACGCGUUAAGUGUUCCGCCUGGGGAGUACGCACGCAAGUGUGAAACUCAAAGGAAUUGACGGGGGCCCGCACAAGCGGUGGAGUAUGUGGUUUAAUUCGAUGCAACGCGAAGAACCUUACCAGGGUUUGACAUCCUGAGAACCUCUUAGAAAUUUGAGGGUGCCUUCGGGAAUUCAGUGACAGGUGGUGCAUGGCUGUCGUCAGCUCGUGUCGUGAGAUGUUGGGUUAAGUCCCGCAACGAGCGCAACCCACGUUUUUAGUUGCCAGCAUUUAGUUGGGCACUCUAGAAAGACCGCCGGUGAUAAACCGGAGGAAGGUGUGGAUGACGUCAAGUCAUCAUGCCCCUUACACCCUGGGCUACACACGUACUACAAUGCUACGGACAAAGGGCAGCAAACUCGCGAGAGCUAGCAAAUCCCAUAAACCGUGGCUCAGUUCAGAUCGUAGGCUGCAACUCGCCUACGUGAAGUAGGAAUCGCUAGUAAUCGCAGGUCAGCAUACUGCGGUGAACACGUUCCCGGGCCUUGUACACACCGCCCGUC
rnacentral:rRNA from 1 species